rnacentral:tRNA from 1 species
AUUGAAAUAGUUUAAAUAAAAUAUUGAUUUGUGGAGUCAAAAAUAUGGAGAAAUUCAUUUUCAAUU